rnacentral:rRNA from 1 species
UACGUAGGGGGCAAGCGUUGUUCGGAAUUACUGGGCGUAAAGGGCGCGUAGGCGGCACGGCAAGUCAGGCGUGAAAGCCCGGGGCUCAACCCCGGAAUGGCUUUUGAAACUGCCGAGCUAGAGUGCGGAAGAGGCAACUGGAAUUCCCAGUGUAGCGGUGAAAUGCGUAGAUAUUGGGAAGAACACCUGAGGCGAAGGCGGGUUGCUGGGCCGACACUGACGCUGAGGCGCGAAAGCCAGGGGAGCGAACGGG